AUUGAACGCUGGCGGCAUGCUUUACACAUGCAAGUCGGACGGCAGCACAGAGAAGCUUGCUUCUUGGGUGGCGAGUGGCGAACGGGUGAGUAAUAUAUCGGAACGUACCGAGUAAUGGGGGAUAACUAAUCGAAAGAUUAGCUAAUACCGCAUAUUCUCUGAGGAGGAAAGCAGGGGACCUUCGGGCCUUGCGUUAUUCGAGCGGCCGAUAUCUGAUUAGCUAGUUGGUGGGGUAAAGGCCUACCAAGGCGACGAUCAGUAGCGGGUCUGAGAGGAUGAUCCGCCACACUGGGACUGAGACACGGCCCAGACUCCUACGGGAGGCAGCAGUGGGGAAUUUUGGACAAUGGGCGCAAGCCUGAUCCAGCCAUGCCGCGUGUCUGAAGAAGGCCUUCGGGUUGUAAAGGACUUUUGUCAGGGAAGAAAAGGCUGUUGCUAAUAUCGACAGCUGAUGACGGUACCUGAAGAAUAAGCACCGGCUAACUACGUGCCAGCAGCCGCGGUAAUACGUAGGGUGCGAGCGUUAAUCGGAAUUACUGGGCGUAAAGCGAGCGCAGACGGUUACUUAAGCAGGAUGUGAAAUCCCCGGGCUCAACCUGGGAACUGCGUUCUGAACUGGGUGACUAGAGUGUGUCAGAGAGAGGUAGAAUUCCACGUGUAGCAGUGAAAUGCGUAGAGAUGUGGAGGAAUACCGAUGGCGAAGGCAGCCCCCUGGGAUAACACUGACGUUCAUGCUCGAAAGCGUGGGUAGCAAACAGG
rnacentral:rRNA from 1 species